GGGAUUGCCCUAGUAACGGCGAGUGAAGCGGCAACAGCUCAAAUUUGAAAUCUGGCCUCGGCCCGAGUUGUAAUUUGCAGAGGAAGCUUUAGGCGCGGCACCAACUGAGUCCCCUGGAACGGGGCGCCAUAGAGGGUGAGAGCCCCGUAUAGUUGGACGCCUAGCCUGUGUAAAGCUCCUUCGACGAGUCGAGUAGUUUGGGAAUGCUGCUCAAAAUGGGAGGUAAAUUUCUUCUAAAGCUAAAUACCGGCCAGAGACCGAUAGCGCACAAGUAGAGUGAUCGAAAGAUGAAAAGCACUUUGAAAAGAGGGUUAAAUAGCACGUGAAAUUGUUGAAAGGGAAGCGCUUGUGACCAGACUUGCGCCGGGCGGAUCAUCCGGUGUUCUCACCGGUGCACUCCGCCCGGCUCAGGCCAGCAUCGGUUCUCGCGGGGGGAUAAAGGCCUCGGGAACGUAGCUCCUCCGGGAGUGUUAUAGCCCGGGGCGCAAUGCCCUCGCGGGGACCGAGGUUCGCGCAUCUGCAAGGAUGCUGGCGUAAUGGUCAUCAGCGACCC
rnacentral:rRNA from 2 species